GUUGCGCCGUCUGACGAAGAGGGAACCGGGUGCAAUUCCCGGACAGUCCCGCUGCUGUGAGCUCCUUUGAUUGCAGACACUACGUUUCAGCCACUGGUUGGUUCUCUGAUUCAACUGGGAAGGCGUGUUUGCAGGAGUAAGUCAGAAGACCUGCCGUUGCUG
rnacentral:ncRNA from 1 species